rnacentral:rRNA from 1 species
UACAGAGGUCUCAAGCGUUGUUCGGAUUCAUUGGGCGUAAAGGGUGCGUAGGCGGCGCGGUAAGUCGGGUGUGAAAGCCCCUGGCUUAACUGGGGAAGUGCACCCGAAACUGGGUAGCUAGAGUGCAAAAGAGGGUCGCGGAAUUCCCGGUGUAGAGGUGAAAUUCGUAGAUAUCGGGAGGAACACCGGUGGCGAAGGCGGCGACCUGGGUUGACACUGACGCUGAGGCGCGAAAGCGUGGGGAGCAAACAGG